CUCUCUUUUGCAGAUGGUUCAUGGAUAUAGAGUGUAUAGACAUGUGCGGUGAACGUGGAUCGAACACGUGACCUUCAGAUCUUCAGUCUGACGCUCUCCCAACUGAGCUAUCCCCGCAAUUGGUAUACACAACAACUUUGUCUCUCUUUUGCUCAUGGAUAUAAAGUGUAUAGACAUGUGCGGUGAACGUGGAUCAAACACGUGACCUUCAGAUCUUCAGUCUGACACUCUCCCAACUAAGCUAUCCCCACAAUUGGUACACAACGAUAUAGAGUGUAUAGACAUGUGCGGUGAACGUGGAUCGAACACGUGACCUUCAGAUCUUCAGUCUGACGCUCUCCCAACUGAGCUAUUCCCGCAACGGGUAAC